rnacentral:rRNA from 1 species
UUCCUUUAGAAAAUAUUUAAAGGUAAAGCCUGCUCAAUGUCUAUUAUUGUUUUAUAAAUAGCUGCGGUAUCUUAACUGCACUAAGGUAGCAUAAUUAAUUGUCUUUUGAAUGGUGACUUGUUUGAAUGGUUUAAUGAGAGAACUUUUAUUCUUGAGCUAAUAUUGAAUUUAUAUUUUAAGGUUAAAAUACCUAAAUAUUAAAGAAAGACGAGAAGACCCUGUUGAGUUUUACAGUUCUAUUUAUAAAUACUGUUAAAAUGGGAAAUUUAUUUUUUUUAUGAAAAUUUAUUGAUCCUGAGAAUAAGAUCUUUUUACUUUGUUCUUGGAAAUAGGAUAAAAUUACCACAGGGAUAACAGGACAAUAUUGAUUGAGAGUUCUAAUCGAAAUCAAUGGUUGUUACCUCGAUGUUGAAUCGAAAUAUCUUCUUGAUGCAGCAGUUAGAGAAGUAGGUCUGUUCGACCUUUUAAAUUUC